CGACUGCUAAUACCCUAUGAGCCCUAUGGGGGAAAGAUUUAUCGCCAUGAGAUGUGCCCGCGUUAGAUUAGCUAGUUGGUAAGGUAAUGGCUUACCAAGGCGACGAUCUAUAGCUGGUCUGAGAGGAUGAUCAGCCACACUGGGACUGAGACACGGCCCAGACUCCUACGGGAGGCAGCAGUGGGGAAUAUUGGACAAUGGGGGCAACCCUGAUCCAGCCAUGCCGCGUGUGUGAUGACGGCCUUAGGGUUGUAAAGCACUUUCAGCAGUGAAGAUAAUGACAUUAACUGCAGAAGAAGCCCCGGCUAACUUCGUGCCAGCAGCCGCGGUAAUACGAAGGGGGCUAGCGUUGUUCGGAAUCACUGGGCGUAAAGAGUACGUAGGCGGACUGAUAAGUUAGGGGUGAAAU
rnacentral:rRNA from 1 species